UACGUAGGAUGCAAGCGUUGUCCGGAAUUAUUGGGCGUAAAGAGCGCGCAGGCGGCCAUUCAAGUCAGAUGUGAAAGACCCCCGGCUUAACCGGGGCUAGUCGUCUGAAACUGAAUAGCUAGAGUGGCAGAGAGGAAAGCGGAAUUCCCGGUGUAGUGGUGAAAUGCGUAGAUAUCGGGAGGAACACCAGAGGCGAAGGCGGCUUUCUGGCUGCUAACUGACGCUGAGGCGCGAAGGCUGGGGUAGCGAACAGG
rnacentral:rRNA from 1 species